GAUAUUUUUGAGGAUAAUUGGUUUAAGGAGCUUCAACGGAAGUUACACAAAGAAGUCUGCCUCCAGCAACCUUCCUAUGGCAAAUGCAAAGGACAUCGCCGGCUUUGGUACUUCAAUGGCAGUCGGAAGAAAUGCGAGACGUUCAUCUAUUCGAACUGCGGCGGUAACCACAAUCGUUUUUACAACUAUGAAGAUUGCCACGACUUUUGCCAAAAACACGACCCGUUUACUAUCUAUAAAUCUAUACAAAUGAAUGAUUGGGUAAAAGGGUAUAUAAAAUAGCCUAAUAAAAUAAAUAUUCUUUCUUGAAUCUAAAACACUUGAA